UUUUUUUUGAGCUUCAGAGAUUUAGAUAGGCUUACUACGUGUGUUAAGUGGGCCAAUUGAAAUCAAUAGUCAAACUCUUCGUCUUCAAGAACCACACUACAAUUCUAGGAUUCGUAUUGUUCUUCGGCCUCUGAUUUAUUAGACCUACCAUGGAUUUUCGGAUAUCAUAGCCACCCUCACCAGGGCUUUGUUCUAUGUUGGGUAGGUACAACUGCAUAUGAUCUCUAUCCUCUGUCUGCAAAGUAUGAAAGGUUGUGGAUGCCUUUAUUCCUGGAGAUCGAUUUUCAGGAGAAACAAUGGUCUGUGUGUCUUUGUAAUUGAGUCAGUUCCUGCUUCUCUUAUUUGAUGUGUGUUGUUUUUUCGUUUUAGGACAGGUGAUACGCUUUUUGCAUUUGUCCGCUUUAAGUAUAAAGACGAAGCUCACAAAGCAGUGGGAACGCUUUGAUGCUAGGUCUAAUAUCAAUUUAUGCACUUGGUGAUUGGAUUUGACAUGAAAGCAUUUGUUAUUGUUUUAGGAAGAGUUUUAUUAGGUUUUUGUUUAAGUUUCUAAUUUUUGAUUUUUAUACUUAAAACCAUUUUUAUAUUCUCAGUGUGUAUGUUUUAUCUCUUAGAACUUACUGUCUUCUGUGUUUGUUGAGUUUUCUGUUUUGUUCGUCUUGGAGUUUCCGUUGUAUUUUGAUUUUUCUUUUCCUGAAGGUUUAGCUACGAAAUUAUGUUUACAGACGACGAGAUCUGCGACAUUGAUAUAUUUGUCAUUUCAGUUAGGAUAUUAUCACAAAAAAAAAAAAAUCUCUAAGCAUGUGAUUAUGUUAACCUCCAAUGAUCUCCGAUUGCAUGAAUCAAACAGUGUUAGUCUUAACCUGAAACAUACCUUUUUAAAUCAUACCUUAAACAUGCUUGCUUUUAUGAUUUUAGAUCUGGGGUUUGUUCUGACAUAACAGGCUGCAUGAAUGGUAGUAUAACUGGCCGCACAACGACCUGCACAGCGAGUGUUCGUAGAUGUUGCAAAAGCUAUCUCAGAAUUCGAACUUGUGACAGUCAGUGCAAGCCCGCUCAGUGGCAAAAUGCAAGGAAACAACUUCCAUAUGAUAUCAGAGUUGUUGAGAUGAGUAUGAAUGAUUCUUAGCUCCGCGACUAUGGACCAACUCUUUCUUGCGUAUGAAGACAGCUUUAAGUUUAAGCCAUUCCACCACAGCUUUUCCCGAGCCUCUAUUAGUGUACAUGUUACGGACCUGAGCUUGGUACGGGAUAUUGUAGCCGUAACAAAACUCAUCCGUCUGACCAACAGUCUUCAACAGUCUCUGCAUAUCGUCAGUUUCAAGCAUCUCAGAACUCGGCUGCAGUCCAUUGUGAUGCAGUGCAGAAAACACAUCAGUUACUAGAAGUGCAAAACAAGAUUAAUGUAUUGACAAAAUCAAACUUAUUUUUGGUGUAGACUUCAUCAUUGAUUUUUUUUUAAAAUAUAUUCUGAUCAUAUCUUCUAAUGGUUUAGACAUGUUUUUCAAAA